UUAGGAUUUGGUUAGAUUUGUAGUUAAAUCCUAUUUGAAUAAGAAUUAAUAUUUAAAUCUGUUUGAGAUAAAUUAAGAUUUAAAUAUUAAUUAGAGGAUAAACCUAACUAGAUUAGGAUUAAUAUUUAAAUCUAUUAGAGAUUGAUUAAGAUAGAUUUAGAUAUUAUUUAAAGUAUGAAUCCUAAAUAUAUUAGGAUUGGGAUACGUUUUAAGUUGAGCAUUAUAAAUAGGCAUUGUGGCUCUCUUUUUUGGGAGGAGUACGGCUGAAGCUUGGGUGCCAUACCAGAGAGAGAAAAAGAGAGAGAGAGUUAUUUAGUGCACCUAGUGCAUGGGUGCACGUAGAUGGGUUGUCUUUUAGGUUUAUAAAAGACGAGAGAAGGGUAGAAAAGAUUCAGGAAGAGGGCUCGGGUUGUAGCUACUCAGUUGCAGAAGAGGAGUCAGGUGUAAUCUUCUCUUAUUUAAUGAAUCUUAUUUUACCUGCAUAUUUUUUUUUCUUUUAUGAUUGUAUCAGCUUUUGCAGAGGAGACAGGUUUAUGGUAAAAACUCGAUUUGACGUUUCUGUUGCGGAAUCCCAACAAUCGAUACCGGAUCCAUAGUAGU
rnacentral:lncRNA from 1 species